CCCUUAGAUGUUCUGGGCCGCACGCGUGCUACACUGAGUGGAUCAGCGGGUCAGGUUGCGCGAAAGCGUUUCCUAAUCUUUAAAUCCGCUCGUGAUGGGGAUUGACGGUUGCAAUUUUCUGUCAUGAACGAGGAAUACCUUGUAAGCGCGGGUCAUCAUCCCGCGCUGAAUACGUCCCUGCCCUUUGUACACACCGCCCGUCGCUCCUACCGAUUGGGUGGUCCGGUGAGGCUUUGGGAUCUGAGCGGAAAGAGCGUUUCGCUGUUUCUGCUCGGAAAACUCAGCCGAACCUUAUCAUUUAGAGGAAGGAGAAGUCGUAACA
rnacentral:rRNA from 1 species